GAUUCUCAGACUUCUUGGUCUCGCGAUCGGGAAAGGCUUUUUUGGACUUUGGAGGUUAUUGCUGGUCCCCAGCUCCUCUUAAAUGAAUUAGCAGGGACCACUUUGCUGACCCUGGACGUGAUAAGAUGUUUCUGCGUCUUGGGUUUUUGCUCUGUCCUUUGGAGACCUGCUUCUAACCGUCUUGUUAAAGAGACAGCAUUCGAGCCUUUCUCCUUGAUCGGGGAAGGCUUGACUCAUGAACCUUUGACCUCAAAUCGGGUGAGACUACCCGCUGAACUUAAGCAUAUCAAUAAGCGGAGGAA
rnacentral:rRNA from 1 species